CGUAGCUCCUGAUGGAGGGGGGUGUGGGUGGAGGAAUUCAUGAGACAAAGGGCAUUUAUACACAGGCAACCAUGGAAACCAGGGGUCCCCCAGGAACUACUGUCUCACUGAUGCUAAGCAUCAUCCCAGGAGGAGCACUAAGCGGUGAGGAGGACUGAGACAGUGACAGGAGUAAAUGCUGCCACUGUGGCCACCACGAGAAACACUUUGCUCGGGAUUUAGUUCUCAGCAUGACCUAGAUGCAUGGUCCCGUGGAUCUACUGUAUACUGAGAUCUCUCCUGCCCUGCCCAAGGACCCACAACACAACGGAGAACCCAGGCUUUUCAGUGUUUGACUCUGCCAUCACAGAAUGCUGAAGGAUGAGGACAAAAGAAGGUUCACAAAGUUACCUUCAGUUUUAUCGCACAUGACCGCUCCACACGCUCCUGCUGCCGUGUCUCUCCUGCCAUGCUGGGCUGUACUGCUGUGAGCCGAAACAAACCCAUCCUCCUCUCAGUUCCAUUUCUCAGGCACUCUGUCAUAGCAACGAGAAAAUGAUGCAACAGUUAAGGAUGAAGAUGAGAAGGGAAGCCUCAAUCCUACCGAAUACCUCAAAUGGGAUUCAGCGCCAGUGAGGAGGUUCAGCUGUUCCCUGAGGAUUACAGUGGCUCUGGAGGAUGAAAGGAAAAAAGAGAUGGCACUCCUGACCAUCCCAACUGAAACACCAGACAUUUGAGGAAGCUCAGCCUGGACAAUCCCAGCUCAACUUAAUCCAACUACCAAACAUAGAACAGUGAAAAAACCAAUGAUUGUUUGAAAUUUCUACAUUUUAGAGAUGUAACAAUGGAAAAAUGACAUCAGAACUAAUACCGAGAGCUAGGUUUGUGGGCCCAUAUUAGAAACGCCAGCAAUUAGAAGGCAGAAGUAAGGGGAUUUCACAAUGGUGGGCUACAUGGUGUCCUGUCUCAAACAAUAACAAUACAAUACAAAACUACAAACAACACAACAACAACAACAACAACACAAAACUACUACUGUUACUACAAUCCGCACAGCUAGGUGAUGACUUUAAUAUGAAAUGAAUUUCAACUCUUCAUUUUGUCUAGCAGUACUAAAAAACAGCUCAUUCUAGAGGAACCUGGAAAAACGUCUCUGGUUCAGAUGACUAGACCAACAUGUUAUUAUAUCAUCUUCUUUUAUUUGAGAAAUAUGUAAAAGAAAGCAUUCCAGUUAUAGUCAUCUCCCCACUGUAUUUGUCCUUAGAAAUCACCAUAAACACAGUAGAUGGUGCACUGGCUCUGAGAGAGACUAAAUCAACUAUGUCUCACUUGGAGAGCUGAGGUGGUCUGCCUGAGAUGGCUGCUAUGCUCACCUGGAAUGCCUUUAACUAGUGUGCUACCAAACCCAACAGAGCCCAAGCCAAACCUGAACAGACUUUAUUGUCAAGAUUUCUUGGCAGACACUCUCUCUCCCGUUCUGUAAAUUAUGCUUAUUCUGUUCCUACAAGAUUGUCUUUUUCUCCCUUGUUUCCUACCUAGUAAACCCUAAAUUUGAGCUCCUAACAGUGCUUCCCAGGAUGGACAAUCUUUGACUUGAAAUGUGCAAUUGCCUGUAAGAAUGUGGAAUUCGACAAAGUGGAAGGUUUUUUUAUUCUUUUCAAGGCAAUGGAAGAUCUUGAUUCUUUUCCCAUCAAUAUUUUCUCCUCCAAGGUCAAUAUAUUUUGAUAGCCACCUCACUGGAAGUCAAUAUCUUCUUUUUAAUCUCUUUUGGCAAUAAUGCUUGCUACAAUCCGGUUGCCUGAGGCAUGUGAGGCCAGAAAGCUGGAUUUACAGCUAGGGGUCUGGAACCCAGUGGGGAUGACAGCUUUGUUCAGAAGCUCUUUGUGUAUCACUCAGGCAGUGGUUGCUAUUUUCUAAAUAUUAUUAUUCCAUUAUAAAUGCAAUUUACUGCUAUAGUCUAAAUAGGAAAUGCAGAAAAUAGAAAGAAAAUUAAUACUUUCUAUAAUUCUCAACAUCAGAGAUAAUUACUAAUGUUUUUCCUGCAAAUGAAUACACACAGAGAGAAUUAUACACAUCUAUGUCCAAUAAAGACUAGGAAA